GCUUAAACGUCCGCUCACACAGCCCCUGGCAAAACACAACACGAGGCUACGACUGAGCAAGGCGCUGGAACCCACUGAGGAGCCAGCACAGCCACGCUGUCAUUUCAGCAUAACAUCACUGGGAAGAAAAUUACAAGUUUCAUGAUGGAAGGAAAUCUAAAUGCUGAGAUUUGGCCUUCCACAUGAAGCAUGACAGCAAGUCACAGAGCAAACCCGGGGGUAAAGGAGGUCAGCCCAGAAGUAAAUGGAAAGCCUGAGCACUUCCUCAUUGUGUGCAAUAAAGGAAAAUUCCACUUG